AGAGUUUGAUCAUGGCUCAGGACGAACGCUGGCGGCGUGCUUAACACAUGCAAGUCACGGGGGCCCGCAAGGGCAACCGGCGAACGGGUGCGUAACACGUGAGCAACCUGCCCGCUUGUGGGGGAUAGCCGGCCCAACGGCCGGGUAAUACCGCAUACGUUCUCUGGGGGGAGUCCUUCGGAGAGGAAAGCAGCAAUGCGCAGGCGGAGGGGCUCGCGGCCUAUCAGCUAGUUGGUGCGGUAACGGCGCACCAAGGCGACGACGGGUAGCUGGUCUGAGAGGAUGGCCAGCCACAUUGGGACUGCGACACGGCCCAGACUCCUACGGGAGGCAGCAGUGGGGAAUCUUGCGCAAUGGGCGAAAGCCUGACGCAGCGACGCCGCGUGGGGGAGGAAGGGCUUCGGCUUGUAAACCCCUGUUGCCCGGGACGAAUCCCUGGUUUCGACCAGGUUGACGGUACCGGGUGGGGAAGCACCGGCUAACUCUGUGCCAGCAGCCGCGGUAAUACAGAGGGUGCGAGCGUUGUCCGGAAUCACUGGGCGUAAAGGGCGCGUAGGCGGUGGCCUAAGCGUGCGGUGAAAGCCCGGGGCUCAACCCCGGGUCGGCCGUGCGAACUGGGUCACUCGAGCACACUAGAGGCGAGUGGAAUUCCGGGUGUAGCGGUGGAAUGCGUAGAGAUCCGGAAGAACACCAGUGGCGAAGGCGGCUCGCUGGGGUGUGGCUGACGCUGAGGCGCGACAGCGUGGGGAGCAAACAGGAUUAGAUACCCUGUAGUCCACGCCGUAAACGAUGGGCACUAGAUGCUUGGGGGAGCGACCCCCUGAGUGUCGGCGCUAACGCAUUAAGUGCCCCGCCUGGGGAGUACGGCCGCAAGGCUGAAACUCAAAUGAAUUGACGG
rnacentral:rRNA from 1 species